rnacentral:rRNA from 1 species
AUUGAACGCUGGCGGCAGGCUUAACACAUGCAAGUCGAGCGGAGAUGAGGUGCUUGCACCUUAUCUUAGCGGCGGACGGGUGAGUAAUGCUUAGGUAUCUGCCUAUUAGUGGGGGACAACAUUCCGAAAGGAAUGCUAAUACCGCAUACGUCCUACGGGAGAAAGCAGGGGAUCUUCGGACCUUGCGCUAAUAGAUGAGCCUAAGUCGGAUUAGCUAGUUGGUGGGGUAAAGGCCUACCAAGGCGACGAUCUGGAGCGGGUCUGAGAGGAUGAUCCGCCACACGGGGACUGGGACACGGCCCAGACUCCCACGGGAGGUAGCAGUGGGGAAUAUUGGACAAUGGGGGGAACCCUGAUCCAGCCAUGCCGCGUGUGUGAAGAAGGCCUUAUGGUUGUAAAGCACUUUAAGCGAGGAGGAGGCUACUGAGACUAAUACUCUUGGAUAGUGGACGUUACUCGCAGAAUAAGCACCGGCUAACUCUGUGCCAGCCGCCGCAGUAACAC